CUGACGUCUGUCCGUCCCAACGUUUUUUCCGCUACCUACAUUUACAUGGUGCAGGAUCACGUGAGUUUGUGGGGUUCACAAUUAAACGUUUAUGGAUGUAAACACAUCGAAACACUCGAGUCAUUUGCUGGAAGGAAUUAGUACUUUAUUUAUUUGCAAAGACUUCAAGGGUGGUCCCUAUGUGGGGGCUCGAAACCGGGACCUCAAGGACGCCCGGCAGAAACCAUAUCCAGUAAAGUUGAAUAUCGACUGAUAAGGAUACCAAUGGUGCAUCUGAUAACCUUCGACUGUACCGAAACUUUUGACAAUCCCGAGAUCCGUUCAAAAGGACUGUACAAACAAACAUAAGCCUCGCUUUGGAAGAACGGGGCUUAAUGCUUGUGCGUAGUCCGCACAGGGACGACACUUUCCGCUUUUAAUAUAUUAUUUACUUCAAGAAAGUUUCUUCUUAUCAAAAAUCCAGUUUACGGUAGGCGGAAAGUGUCGCCCCUGAUUAGCCUGUGCGGACUGCACAGGCUGAUCUGGGAAGACACCUUUCGCACAUGCAUUAAGCCCCGUUUUCCCAGAGCGAUGCUAAAGAUGUACAUGUAUAUACAAGUGUGUAUCGCUUAUUUUGUCACAUACUGACCAAUGUUCGUUAUAGAUUGGAGAAUCAUUACACAAUCAGAAAAAAACACAAAACAACCCGAAAACACUUAAAGAUUACACACUGAAAAAAGUUACUUGUGUAAUUGUCAAAUAUAAUUAAAGGCCACGUUACAAUCGCAAUAAGUUUCGUUUUAAUCGUUGUUUAUCUGUAAAGAAAAAAAAACAAAGUUAUGAUGCGCGUACGUUACCAAUCUCAGGAUACACAACCUUGGGAUAACGCAAUCUCGGGAUAACGCAAUCUCGGGAUAACGCAAUUUCGGGAUAACGCAAUCUUAGUUUAAUUUGUUCCUACGCAUCAAACCUAAAAUAGUUGGUAAAGGCAACAUUAUAUGUUAAAUAUUUAAAAUAAAUAAUAUGAAUGCAAAGAUUCCAUUACACCGAUACCGGAACUGGUGGAAAAUGACUGUUGUGCAGGAUCAUGACACAAUUCAACUGUUCACAGAACAAUCCGACCAAUUGAAGUGUCUAUAUACCUAUUAAAGUAUUGUUUUACCUUUUAAGUGUUGUUUAUUACACAGAUCCCAUUGAUGGUUUGUUUCAAUGUAACGACAGAGAAUGUGUUUAAAGGGAAACAACUUUUAAAUCAUAUUAAAUUUUACGUUUGAAGAGUAGUUUCCCUUUCAUUUCACGAAAAAAUACG